UUACUGAACUAAUGCUACGGAUGAACAGGUAACAAAUAUUGAGUAUGAUGAACGCAAAGGACGAAUAGCCAUUGGACGCCUGCAUGCUGGAGUUCUACAGAAAGGAAUGGAUUGGUUCUCAACACCCCCAUUGGAUUAUAAUCUAGAUGAUUGCAUCGAGCAUAUUCAAAAAAGACGCGCUAGUGAAGGUCACUCCCAUGAGCAUCCGAAGCUUGCAAAGAAAACAAGAUGAACAUUUUAUAGGCUUAAUGCAUCAAGUGAAUCUGCCAGAAAACCAUCCUUGCAUAACUAA
rnacentral:misc_RNA from 1 species